rnacentral:rRNA from 1 species
UACGAAGGGGACUAGCGUUGUUCGGAAUCACUGGGCGUAAAGCGCACGUAGGCGGAUGUGUCAGUCAGGGGUGAAAUCCCGGGGCUCAACCUCGGAACUGCCUUUGAUACAGCACGUCUCGAGUCCGGAAGAGGUGGGUGGAAUUCCUAGUGUAGAGGUGAAAUUCGUAGAUAUUAGGAAGAACACGGUGGCGAAGGCGGCCCACUGGUCCGGUACUGACGCUGAGGUGCGAAAGCGUGGGAGCAAACAGG